rnacentral:rRNA from 1 species
UACGAAGGGGGCUAGCGUUGCUCGGAAUCACUGGGCGUAAAGGGCGCGUAGGCGGCCAUUCAAGUCGGGGGUGAAAGCCUGUGGCUCAACCACAGAAUUGCCUUCGAUACUGUUUGGCUUGAGUUUGGUAGAGGUUGGUGGAACUGCGAGUGUAGAGGUGAAAUUCGUAGAUAUUCGCAAGAACACCAGUGGCGAAGGCGGCCAACUGGACCAA